rnacentral:tRNA from 1 species
GGCCCUAUAGUUCAAGGGAUAGAACGGAAGUUUCCUAAACUUUAAAUCGCAGUUCGAGUCUGCGUGGGGCUA